CCCGCUGAACUUAAGCAUAUCAGUAAGCAGAGGAAGAGAAACUAACAAGGAUUCCCGUAGUAACGGCGAGUGAACUGGGAUGAGUCCAGCGCUGAAUCGUGGUGUUUCUAAUGCCAUGAGGUGUAGCGUAUAGACGGCAUAUUCCUGUGUUGUCCUCUGGUUUAAAUCUCCCUUGACUGGGGUUCCAGAGAAGGUGAAAGGCCUGUUCAACUGGAGGACAUUGCAGACUGUGCUUUCUUGGAGUCGGGUUGUUUGGGAACGCAGCCCAAAGAAGGUGGUAUACUUCAUCUAAGACUAAAUAUGACUACGAAACCGAUAGCAAACAAGUACUGUGAAGGAAAGUUGCAAAGCACUUUGAAGAGAGAGUUAAAGAGGACGUGAAACCGAUAAGGUGGAAACGGAUAGAGCUGACGUAUCUAGCCUGUAUUCAGCUGUGGGUCUGCGUAGGGCAGAUUGUCCAAUCCUGCUUUUGGUUGGGCUGUUUGUCUCUUGCGUAGUCUAGCAGUGCAUUUGCAGGUUAAGUGCGCCGAGAAAUACACUCCAGCGGUUGGAUAUCUGCUUUGAGGUCUCUCUUCGGAGAGUAACCCUGGCGGAAGGAAGACUGUUUGCUGUGUACUGACUGCAUUAUGUAUGGCCUACGGAUCGGCUAGCAGCUUAUGCUCCUAUGGAUUAUGAUCGCAUGCGAUUGUGCCCACUGGGGUGUUUGUUGUUGGUGCGGAUUCUCAUAUAUGCUUUCGGUGUAAAAGUCGGUCAUCUAUCCGACCCGUCUUGAAACACGG
rnacentral:rRNA from 1 species